rnacentral:rRNA from 1 species
UACGAAGGGGGCUAGCGUUGUUCGGAAUUACUGGGCGUAAAGGGCGCGUAGGCGGUGUGUCAAGUCAGGCGUGAAAGCCCCGGGCUCAACCUGGGAACAGCGCUUGAGACUGGCACGCUCGAGUUCGGGAGAGGAUGGCGGAAUUCCCAGUGUAGAGGUGAAAUUCGUAGAUAUUGGGAAGAACACCGAUGGCGAAGGCAGCCAUCUGGACCGACACUGACGCUGAGGCGCGAAAGCGUGGGGAGCAAACAGG